rnacentral:SRP_RNA from 1 species
GCUGGGCGCAGUGGCAUGUGCCUACAGUCCCAGCUAUUUGAGAAGCUGAGGUGGGAGAGGAUGGCUUGAGCCCAGAAGUUCUGGGCUGUAGUGCGCUAUGCCGAUCGGGUGUCUGCACUAAAUUCACCAUCAAUAUGGUGACCUCCCAGGAGCAGGGGCCCACCAGGUUGCAUAAGGAGGGGUGAAUCAGCCCAGGUCGGAAACAGAGCAGGUCAAAACUCCCGUGCUCAUCAGUAGUGGGAUCGCGCCUGUGAAUAGCCACUGCACUCCAGCCUGGGCAACAUAGGCAAACCCCGUCUCU